UGCAGUCAACGGUAACAGGUCUUCUGAUGCUGACGAGUGGCGGACGGAUGAGUAACGCGUACGAAUCUGUCUUUGAGUGGGGGACAACCCAGGGAAACUUGGGCUAAUACCGCAUAAACCCUGAGGGGGAAAGCGGGGGAUCUUCCGACCUCCCGCUGGAAGAGGAACCUACCUCUGAUUAACUAGUUGGUAGGGUAAAGGCCUACCAAGGCGACGAUCGAUAGCUGGUCGGACAGGACGACCAACCACACUGGGACUGACACACGGCCCACACUCCUACGGAAGGCAGCAGUGGGGAAUUUUUCUCAAUGGGGGCAACCCUGACUAACCAAUGCCGCGUGAAUGAAUAAGGCCUUCGGGUUGUAAAGUUCUUUCUUGGAGGACGAAAAGGUGGGUGCUAAUAUCGCCUGCUGUUGACGUGAAUCCAACAAAAAGCACCGGCUAACUCCGUGCCA
rnacentral:rRNA from 1 species